UACGGAGGUUGCAAGCGUUGUUCGGAAUGACUGGGCGUAAAGGGAGCGCAGGCGGCCAAGUCAGUCUGAAGUGAAAGCCCGGGGCUUAACCCCGGAAUAGCUUUGGAUACUGCCUGGCUUGAGUGUGCGAUAGGAAAGCGGAAUUCCAGGUGUAGCGGUGAAAUGCGUAGAUAUCUGGAGGAACACCGGUGGCGAAAGCGGCUUUCUGGCGCAUAACUGACUCUGAGGCUCGAAAGCGUGGGGAGCGAACGGGAUUAGAUACCUGGGUA
rnacentral:rRNA from 1 species